rnacentral:rRNA from 1 species
ACGGGAGGCAGCAGUGGGGAAUAUUGGACAAUGGGGGAAACCCUGAUCCAGCGACGCCGCGUGAGUGAAGAAGUAUUUCGGUAUGUAAAGCUCUAUCAGCAGGGAAGAUAAUGACGGUACCUGACUAAGAAGCCCCGGCUAACUACGUGCCAGCAGCCGCGGUAAUACGUAGGGGGCAAGCGUUAUCCGGAUUUACUGGGUGUAAAGGGAGCGUAGGUGGCAUGGCAAGCCAGAAGUGAAAACCCGGGGCUCAACCCCGCGGACUGCUUUUGGAACUGUCAGGCUAGAGUGCAGGAGGGGCAGGCGGAAUUCCUAGUGUAGCGGUGAAAUGCGUAGAUAUUAGGAGGAACACCGGUGGCGAAGGCGGCCUGCUGGACUGUAACUGACACUGAGGCUCGAAAGCGUGGGGAGCAAACAGGAUUAGAUACCCUGGUA